rnacentral:rRNA from 1 species
UUGCUAGUAAUCGCGGAUCAGCAUGCCACGGUGAAUACGUUCCCGGGUCUUGUACACACCGCCCGUCACACCAUGGGAGUCGGUAACACCCGAAGUCAGUAGUCUAACCGCAAGGAGGACGCUGCCGAAGGUGGGAUUGACGACUGGGGUGAAGUCGUAACAAGGUACC